rnacentral:rRNA from 1 species
UUGGUGACCAGCGGAGGGAUCAUUACCGAGUUUACAACUCCCAAACCCAAUGUGAACGUUACCAAACUGUUGCCUCGGCGGGAUCUCUGCCCCGGGUGCGUCGCAGCCCCGGACCAAGGCGCCCGCCGGAGGACCAACCUAAAACUCUUUUUGUAUACCCCCUCGCGGGUUUUUUAUAAUCUGAGCCUUCUCGGCGCCUCUCGUAGGCGUUUCGAAAAUGAAUCAAAACUUUCAACAACGGAUCUCUUGGUUCUGGCAUCGAUGAAGAACGCAGCGAAAUGCGAUAAGUAAUGUGAAUUGCAGAAUUCAGUGAAUCAUCGAAUCUUUGAACGCACAUUGCGCCCGCCAGUAUUCUGGCGGGCAUGCCUGUCCGAGCGUCAUUUCAACCCUCGAACCCCUCCGGGGGGUCGGCGUUGGGGAUCGGCCCUCCCUUAGCGGGUGGCCGUCUCCGAAAUACAGUGGCGGUCUCGCCGCAGCCUCUCCUGCGCAGUAGUUUGCACACUCGCAUCGGGAGCGCGGCGCGUCCACAGCCGUUAAACACCCAACUUCUGAAAUGUUGACCUCGGAUCAGGUAGGAAUACCCGCUGAACUUAAGCAUAUCAAUAAAG